rnacentral:rRNA from 1 species
CAAUAGCGUAUAUUAAAGUUGUUGCAGUUAGAACGCUCGUAGUCGGAUUUCGGGGCGGGUCGACCGGUCUGCCGAUGGGUACGCACUGGCCGACGCGUCCUUUUUGCCGGAGACCGUCCCUACUCUUAACUGAGCGGGGUCGGGAGACGGCACUUUUACUUUGAAAAAAUCAGAGUGUUUCAAGCAGGCAGCUCGCUCUUGCAUGGAUUAGCAUGGGAUAAUGAAAUAGGACUUUGGUGCUAUUUUGUUGGUUUCGAACACCGAAGUAAUGAUGAGAAGGGACAGUCAGGGGCACUCGUAUUCCGCCGAGAGAGGUGAAAUUCUCAGACCAGCAGAAGACGAACCACUGCGAAAGCAUUUGCCAGGGAUGUUUNCACUG